rnacentral:lncRNA from 1 species
GCCAAAUGAAGUAGUGGAAAUUCACCAAGGACUGAAGAAAGGAUGUCCUGUCUCCAUUGUUAUUCACGCUUUAUGCUGGGGGCAUAGAAAGAUGAAUGGAAAACAGUGAAUUGGGGUUU